UGUGGAAAAUGAAAUUACAGAUACCGUGAAAUGAACUUUCAAUACAUUUCAAUUCGUUAAAGUUAAGAAAGUUGCAAACAUGUUAAGAUGGUUAAUCGUUCUGUGUUUAAUACACAUAUCCCUGUCGAUGCACGUGGAAAUAGUAACCUCCAAGUAUCCCACUCCGGUGCAUUAUGAAAAUAAAAAAAUGAAAGUUAGAAUACCUAUAAUAAUAGGACGUAGAAUUCAACCGCAAAAUGUUGAUAAAUUCGUUGAAAAUCAAGGAUACAAACGGAAUAACGAAUUAAUAAAGAAAGCAGCAAGAAACAUAGAAAAUGUUUGUAUAGAUGUAGGAAUGAUUGACAAAAAUAAUGAUAUUCAUUCUAGAAAACGUGACUCAAGUAAUAAAGAAUCAUUACAUUCAGCCGUUAGUAAAAUGGCUGUGGAUUUAUCAAACACGAAACGUUGGUUAAAUCUAAAUCCUCGUAAAGUUAAAAAGCAAAAAGGUAAAGGAACAGAAAACUCUCGAAGGCAAAGCGAUUACAUGGACGCGCGUAAUGAUAUGGUGCUGAUGAAGCAUUUAAAGAAACUGCGAAAGAACAAAGUAAGAAGAGACGAUAGAGAAGAAGAGUUACAGUACGAUUUCGAUGAAGAGGAAUUAAAUUAUGAAUGAAAUACAUAAUAUACACGCAAAGCACAUAUA